UCGCUGCUGCCCCUUUGCAUUCGCCAGCGCAAGAGGCACCAUCGCCUCCUCCUCCUCCUCGUCGUGUGGUGUGUGUGGGUCGGCCCUGCCGCUGGGUUCACCCCCUCCUGCACCGCAGGAGGGUGCGGAGCCGCCCCCGCCGCCGACAAGAGAGGCAGCCAGUUCCGUGACAGCGGCUGGCAGCCCUGCGCUGGAGAGUACAUCCAGCCCCCCUGCACCGCAGCCUGAAGCUGGUUCAUCAGCAGCGGUGCCUGCAGCGCCAGCCGGGGAUGCGUCCCCGCAGGCUCCGCUGGCUCCAGCUGGCCUGGCUCCCAUCCAGGACACGAGCUGUGGCGCUGAAGAAGAUCCCCAGCUGGGAGCCCGCCCAACCGUGCCGUGAAAUCUGAAGAUCAACAUUCCUCUGGGGACAACACCUUCCCUGCUGUGCCUUGAGGACCAGGGUGGGAGCGGACCUCCUAGGCACGCCACGGAAUCUUCCCUGGAGGAGCUCCGUGUCUCAGCUUGCCCUCUGUGGAGACAGACAACAACCUGCUGGUGUGUGGAUAAAUGCUGGGGACUCGUCCAGGAUAGCCAUGCCUGAAGAGGACAUCAAGACUGGCCAUCUUGGACCUCCAGUACAGCUGGCUAUCAGGACCAGAGAAGAUCGACUUGGGACCAGUGACACGGAGGAGUGCCAGACUGGUGAGAAGUAUCCGGUGGCAGGAGUAGAGGGCGAGCGAGAGUGUGUGAGUGAGACGAAGGCCGGC